rnacentral:rRNA from 1 species
CCUACGGGUGGCAGCAGUGAGGAAGAGUGGUCAAUGGGCGCGAGCCUGAACCAGCCAAGUAGCGUGAAGGAUGACUGCCCUACGGGGUGUAAACUUCGUUUAUAAAGGAAUAAAGUGAGGCACGUGUGCCUUUUUGUAUGUACGUUAUGAAUAAGGAUCGGCUAACUCCGUGCCAGCAGCCGCGGUAAUACGGAGGAUCCGAGCGUUAUCCGGAUUUAGUGGGUUUAAAGGGAGCGUAGAUGGGUUGUUAAGUCAGUUGUGAAAGUUUGCGGCUCAACCGGAAAAUUGCAAUUGAUACUGGCAGUCUUGAGUACAGUUGCGGUAGGCGGACUUCGUGGUGUCGCG